CCUACGGGGAGGCAGCAGUGGGGAAUAUUGCGCAUUGGGCGAAAGCCUGACGCAGCGACGCCGCGUGGGGGAUGAAGGUCUUCGGAUCGUAAACCUCUGUCAGCAGGGAAGAAAGGUCACUGUGCUAAUCAGCAGUGAAUUGACUGUAUCUGCAACGGAAGCACCGGCUAAAUCCGUGCCAGCAGCCGCGGGAAUACGUCGGGAGCAAGCGUUGUCCGGUAUUACUGGGCGUAAGGGGCGCGUAGGUGGGCGCGUAAGGCAGGUGUGAAAACUCCGGGCCCAACCUGGAGACUGCACUUGAAACUGGGGGUCUGGAGGGCAGGAGAGGAAAGUGGAAUGCCUAGUGUAGCGGUGAAAUGCGUAGAUAUUAGGAGGAACACCAGUGGCGAAGGCGACUUUCUGGACUGUACCUGACGCUGAGGCGCGAAAGCGUGGGUAGCGAACGGGAUUAGAUACCCGAGUAGUC
rnacentral:rRNA from 1 species